rnacentral:rRNA from 1 species
AGUGAACGCUGGUGGUAGGCCUAACACAUGCAAGUCGAACGGCAGCACAGUAAGAGCUUGCUCUUACGGGUGGCGAGUGGCGGACGGGUGAGGAAUACAUCGGAAUCUACUUUUUCGUGGGGGUUAACGUAGGGAAACUUACGCUAAUACCGCAUACGACCUACGGGUGAAAGCAGGGGAUCUUCGGACCUUGCGCGAUUGAAUUAGCCGAUGUGGGAUUAGCUAGUUGGCGGGGUAAAGGCCCACCAAGGCGACGAUCCGUAGCUGGUCUGAGAGGAUGACCAGCCACACUGGAAGGGAGACACGGACCAGACUCCUACGGGAGGGAGCAGUGGGGAAUAUUGGACAAUGGGGGCAAGCCUGAUCCAGCCAUACCGCGUGGGUGAAGAAGGCCUUCGGGUUGUAAAGCCCUUUUGUUGGGAAAGAAAAGCAGCAGGUUAAUACCCCGCUGUUCUGACGGUACCCAAAGAAUAAGCACCGGCUAACUUCGUG